AUCAAUACACUAUGUCAUGGGAUCAAUUUCAUGAUUGGGUCCAACAAAAGUAUCAUAUUGAUAUGUAUCGGAUCGAGGACCCCGAUCCACCACCCGUGGAGGCCCGUCGUUCGUUUUGGUGGUAGAAUUAACAAUCAGAUAUUUCAAUCUAUAACGAGCUGAAAUACGAACCUCGAACAAGACUACCUCAAAGCCCGAAAAAGAUAUGUGAUGCUAUUUUUACCAAAUUUACAUUGAUUUUGCUAAACUUAUACUAUUACUAUAUUUAUUUGUAACUUGAAAACUCUAUCCUAACUUUUUUUUUAAUUUUCAGGUAUUUUCGGAGGGAUAAAUCGGUGAAAUCAGGUGUACCGAGCGGUACACCUCGGUAUACCGCUCGGUACGCCGUACCGUACCAUACCGAGCCAGCGUCGAAACGCCGGUACGGUACGGUUCGGCGAACCUUGCUUAAAAGUACAUGGGUAAAUCUUUCCAAAA